rnacentral:lncRNA from 1 species
CACAUGCAGCCAUUACAGACGGGCACACCAACCCCAGACUGCUGUUGCCAGAAAGAAGCACCUGCCUUGCCUCCUUCCCUCCUUUGCCUGUCCAAAGGUGAAUGAUAUGAGUCGGGCAGUGUGCAUGUCUUCCCAGAAGAAAAAAUGAGGCUCAGAUGUGACUCGGUGUCCCCGGUGAGUGGGUGCAUCAUAAAUGUCAGACAUUGACUGCACCGAAAAGCCUUCUUGGGCUGUCUUCACCGUCUUGUUCUUGGCUUUGGACUCCUGAGCUGCACAAUAAGGAUGUGCAUGGUGCUGCUGACCGUAUGCUCCCCCGACAGUUCCAGGAAGGUGCAGAGUGCUGACAGCCACGCCCUGGAGCUUGCGCUUGCCAGUGCUUAGUGACUCUCAGAACUGACUCCUGAGGGAAGGCAAGUGUUUGAAUUGACUUUCUCCAAGGUUCUCACUCUUAGGAAGAUGCAGGUGGAGUUAUCUGUGAUUCUCCCUGUAGGUCAGGUGAGUCCUCAAACUGCUUCCCUCAUGGUGAUAAAGUGGCUGCCAACACCUUCC